rnacentral:rRNA from 1 species
UACGGGGGGGGUAAGCGUUGUUCGGAAUUACUGGGCGUAAAGGGCUCGUAGGCGGCCAACUAAGUCAGACGUGAAAUCCCUCAGCUUAACUGGGGAACUGCGUCUGAUACUGGAUGGCUUGGAUUCGGGAGAGGAAUGCGGAAUUCCAGGUGUAGCGGUGAAAUGCGUAGAUAUCAAGAGGAACACCUGAGGUGAAGACGGGUUGCUGGGCCGACACUGACGCUGAGUGCGCGAAAGCCAGGGGAGCAAACGGG